rnacentral:rRNA from 1 species
GGCUGGGCACUCUAGAGGAACCGCCGGUGAUAAGCCGGAGGAAGGUGGGAUGACGUCAAGUCCUCAUGGCCCUUACGUGGUGGGCUACACACGUGCUACAAUGGCAGUGACAAUGGGUUAAUCCCAAAAAGCUGUCUCAGUUCGGAUUGUCGGCUGCAACUCGCCGGCAUGAAGUUGGAAUUGCUAGUAAUCGCGUAACAGCAUGACGCGGUGAAUACGUUCCCGGGCCUUGUACACACCGCCCGUCACACCAUGGGAGUUGGUUCUACCCGAAGGCCGUGCGCUAACUUUUGAGGCAGCGGACCACGGUAGGAUCAGCGACUGGGGUGAAGUCGUAACAAGGUAACC